ACAUGCCUACAACAUAGUGUUAAUGCAUUGGAUCCCAUUAGAACUCUACAAUUAAACACACUCAGGCUAGAGUAGUACUAGGAUGGGUGACCGCCUGGGAAGUCCUAGUGUUUUACAUGCC
rnacentral:rRNA from 1 species